GACCUAGCGGCGGACGGGUGAGUAAUACUUAGGAAUCUGCCUAUUAAUGGGGGACAACAUCUCGAAAGGGAUGCUAAUACCGCAUACGCCCUACGGGGAAGCAGGGGAUCACUUGUGACCUUGCGUUAAUAGAUGAGCCUAAGUCGGAUUAGCUAGUUGGUGGGGUAAAGGCCUACCAAGGCGACGAUCUGUAGCGGGUCUGAGAGGAUGAUCCGCCACACUGGGACUGAGACACGGCCCAG
rnacentral:rRNA from 1 species